CAGCGUAAUUAUUUGGGUAAAAGGUUUUACACAAGUAGAGACAAUGUAUGGAGGGUGUAGCAGAUUGACAUUGAAUAAAAUCUUAUCACAGUGUCAACAUGUGGUGGUAGUUUGUCAACCAUCUUCAUAGGGGACUAGAAAAAACAAAAAAGGUCGUCAGAAAUCCAAUAAAAUAAACGCAAAAAAAUAAUCGAGUGGGAGAAAAAUAUCGAUGGGAAUAGUAGAAGAAGCUCACAACUUGAAGGUGGUGGGAUCAGGGGAGCAGAUCAUCGUGCUCGCCCAUGGCUUCGGCACCGAUCAAUCUCUGUGGAAGCAUCUUGUUCCUCAUCUCGUCGACGACUACCGAGUCAUCCUCUU
rnacentral:lncRNA from 1 species